rnacentral:rRNA from 1 species
GAGUUUGAUCGUGGCUCAGAUUGAACGCUGGCGGCAUGCCUUACACAUGCAAGUCGAACGGCAGCACGGGAGCUUGCUCCUGGUGGCGAGUGGCGAACGGGUGAGUAAUGCAUCGGAACGUAUCCUGGAGUGGGGGAUAACGUAGCGAAAGUUACGCUAAUACCGCAUAUUCUGUGAGCAGGAAAGCGGGGGACCGUUCGGGCCUCGCGCUCUUGGAGCGGCCGAUGUCGGAUUAGCUAGUUGGUGAGGUAAAGGCUCACCAAGGCGACGAUCCGUAGCAGGUCUGAGAGGAUGAUCUGCCACACUGGAACUGAGACACGGUCCAGACUCCUACGGGAGGCAGCAGUGGGAUUUUGGACAAUGGGGGCAACCCUGAUCCAGCCAUGCCGCGUGAGUGAAGAA